rnacentral:rRNA from 1 species
ACGGGCCCGCACAAGCAGCGGAGCGUGUGGUUAAUUCGAUGCUACACGAAGAACCUUACCAGGGUUUGACAUGCAAGUGGUAGGAACCGAAAGGUGACCGACCUUCGGGGAGCUUGCACAGGUGCUGCAUGGCUGUCGUCAGCUCGUGUCGUGAGAUGUUCGGUUAAGUCCGCUAACGAGCGCAACCCUCGUCGUGUGUUAUACGUGUCACACGAUACUGCCGGUAUCAAGCCGGAGGAAGGUGGGGAUGAUGUCAAGUCAGCAUGGCCUUUAUAUCCUGGGCUACACACACGCUACAAUGGCAGAUACAAUAGGUUGCGAAACCGCGAGGUGGAGCCAAUCCUCAAAGUCUGUCUCAGUUCAGAUUGUAGGCUGCAACUCGCCUGCAUGAAGUUGGAGUUGCUAGUAAACGCAGGUCAGCUAUACUGCGUUGAAUACGUUCCCGGGGUUU